GCGGGUGUAGCUCAGUUGGUAGAGCAUUUGCCUUCCAAGCAAAUUGUCGUGGGUUCGAAACCCAUCACCCGCU
rnacentral:tRNA from 1 species